rnacentral:tRNA from 1 species
GCGGACAUGGCGGAAUGGCAGACGCGCUAUCUUGAGGGGGUAGUGAGUGGAUACUCGUGUGGGUUCAAAUCCCAUUGUCCGCA